rnacentral:lncRNA from 1 species
GUGGCAGAGCAAGAGAUACCUGGGGGCUCCCUGGCUUUGGCUGGUCCAGAAUAUCCUGUAUCCACCAACACUGAUGUCACUGCUGGCAGUGCAGUCUCAGGUUGGAAAUAAUGUCAGGGACACUGGCUUGACAGCCUGGUCACUGUGGGUCCACAAACAUCCAUGCGCCACACCCCGUGCUCUGCCCCCACUUAUCCACAGGCCAUUCCUGGGUGCACAGUAUGGACGGGCCGCAGUCUGCUUCUCCAUCCGCCUGUUCAUGAGCGUUUGGGUCUUUUACACUUUGGGCUAUUUAUACAUAAAGCCGUUAUUUAUGUUAGAAG